rnacentral:rRNA from 1 species
GACGGAGGAUGCAAGCGUUAUCCGGAAUGAUUGGGCGUAAAGCGUCCGCAGGUGGCAACGCAAGUCUGCUGUUAAAGCGCAGGGCUUAACCCUGUAAAGGCAGUGGAAACUGAAUAGCUAGAGUAUGGUAGGGGUAGAGGGAAUUCCCAGUGUAGCGGUGAAAUGCGUAGAUAUUGGGAAGAACAUCGGUGGCGAAGGCGCUCUACUGGACCAUAACUGACACUCACAGGACGAAAGCUAGGGGAGCGAAUGGG